rnacentral:rRNA from 1 species
AUGAACGCUGGCGGCGUGCCUCAUACAUGCAAGUCGAGCGAACAGACGAGGAGCUUGCUCCUCUGACGUUAGCGGCGGACGGGUGAGUAACACGUGGAUAACCUACCUAUAAGACUGGGAUAACUUCGGGAAACCGGAGCUAAUACCGGAUAAUAUAUUGAACCGCAUGGUUCAAUAGUGAAGGACGGUUUUGCUGUCACUUAUAGAUGGAUCCGCGCCGCAUUAGCUAGUUGGUAAGGUAACGGCUUACCAAGGCAACGAUGCGUAGCCGACCUGAGAGGGUGAUCGGCCACACUGGAACUGAGACACGGUCCAGACUCCUACGGGAGGCAGCAGUAGGGAAUCUUCCGCAAUGGGCGAAAGCCUGACGGAGCAACGCCGCGUGAGUGAUGAAGGUCUUCGGAUCGUAAAACUCUGUUAUUAGGGAAGAACAAAUGUGUAAGUAACUAUGCACGUCUUGACGGUACCUAAUCAGAAAGCCACGGCUAACUACGUG